rnacentral:rRNA from 1 species
AUUGAACGCUGGCGGCAGGCCUAACACAUGCAAGUCGAGCGCGGCGGACGGGUGCGUAAUGCCAAGGAAUCUGCCUGUUACUGGGGGAUAACGUUCGGAACCGGGAGCUAAUACCGCAUCCUCUUAGCUGAGCCUAUGUCGGAUUAGCGAGUGGGUGGGGUAAAGGCUCACCAAGGCGACGAUCCCUAGCUGGUCUGAGAGGAUGACCAGCCACACUGGGACGGAGACACGGUCCAGACUCCUACGGGAGGCAGCAGUGGGGAAUAUUGCACAAUGGGCGCAAGCCUGAUGCAGCCAUGCCGCGUGUAUGAAGAAGGCCUUCGGGUUGUAAAGUACUUUCAGCGGGGAGGCGUUACCCGCAGAAGAAGCACCGGCUAACUCCGUGCCAGCAGCCGCGGUAAUAC